rnacentral:lncRNA from 1 species
AAAGUGGUAUUUUCUGCUUGUUCAGUUUUUCUUUUCACAUAUUUAUUUUAAACUCAAAUCUUGAUAAAUAUAUAUGAAGCAAAAAAUUUAUUUAAGGAUUUUUUUUCUUCUUAGGAUAAUUUGUUUUAGAAGGAAGUGCUUAACCUUGCCACUCAGUUUCUUUAAAAUUGUGUUUUGUUUCAUUUUCUGUUUGCUCUCAUCAGUGAGGAAGCUCCAUGUUCGUCUAAUAUUGGGAAUCAAGCUGGGCAUGGUUAGAGGUCAUGCGGAGCGUCGUUCUGAUCUCCAGGGCUGGAUGAGUGCGAAGAACAUGUUUAGAUUUGCUGGCUUCUUUUGUGUGUGGAUGUAUAGUGGCCCGAGAACACAAGAGAGUGACAAACAGGCUGAAAAGUGGAGUGAUGACGACCCAGAAGGGAAGGAAGGAGAGCUGCCGACAAAGCAGGCAACCUUCGGGGAGAGACCGGGGCCCAUCUCAUGUGCGACAAAGGUAAGCGGUAAGAAAGCCAGAGCAGGGCUUUACACUGGCGGCCACCAGAAGAGCUGUCCUGGCCAUCAGAGAGAUUCAUCAGUCCUUUCCAGGGGUUGAGGGGGUUGAGGGGAGCUUGGUGGCAAAGUGGGGUGUAAGUACUUUCAGUUUCUUUACAAUAGAGACAACUACAGUCAUGUGCUGCAUGAUGAUGCUUCAGUCAACAACAGACCGUAGGUAUGAUGGUGGUCCCACAAGAUUAGUACCAUAUAGCCUAGGUGUGUAACAGGCUAUACCAUCCAGGUUUGUGUAAGGACACUCUACGAUGUUCGCACAAUGAUGAAAUCACCUAACGAUGCAUUUUUCAGAGUGUAUCCCCGGUGUUAAGUGCCACGUGACUGUAUAGCAAGACCGUGGGUAAGAGUGCUGGGGCUGGAGUCAUACCACCUGGGUUCAAAUGCUGGCCCUGCACUUGCUACCAUUUAUUAGUCUGGAAAACUUCACUGCCUGUGGAAGACAUGGAGAUACGCUGCUCGUCUUCCCCUUCGAGAAUGGACUUGCUGCUCAGGUAGAGGAGUGUGGAUAGCAGACAGCCUCCAGCUAUUAGCAGGGUCCACCCUGGCUUUCAAGCUGAGGUCAUGCCACUAUUGAGGCAGCCCCUGCCAGUGACUAAGCAUGAGAUGGUGCGAACACCUAGGCCUUUCAUUCAAAAGGAGGCCUCCUCGAAUGGGUGGUCUUUGCUCUGCUCCCCGUUGGACUUGGCAGAAUCUUUGUCAAGUCCAGAUGUUGGCUCCCCUUGACCAGUCCUGCUUCCUCCCCAGUUCUGUCACAGGUGUUACUCCACCGUAAACUUGUUCUACUCUUACUUCCAUCUCAGCAUCUGCUUCCCAGAGAACCGAACCAGUGCCACGGCCCUAUGCCUCAGUUUCCUCUUCUGUAAAUUGGGCAUAAUAAAUUUGAAAGCUAAUUUAUUGCUGUUAUGAGG